rnacentral:rRNA from 2 species
UAUACAUGCAGUCGAGCGAAUGGAUUAAGAGCUUGCUCUUAUGAAGUUAGCGGCGGACGGGUGAGUAACACGUGGGUAACCUGCCCAUAAGACUGGGAUAACUCCGGGAAACCGGGGCUAAUACCGGAUAACAUUUUGAACCGCAUGGUUCGAAAUUGAAAGGCGGCUUCGGCUGUCACUUAUGGAUGGACCCGCGUCGCAUUAGCUAGUUGGUGAGGUAACGGCUCACCAAGGCAACGAUGCGUAGCCGACCUGAGAGGGUGAUCGGCCACACUGGGACUGAGACACGGCCCAGACUCCUACGGGAGGCAGCAGUAGGGAAUCUUCCGCAAUGGACGAAAGUCUGACGGAGCAACGCCGCGUGAGUGAUGAAGGCUUUCGGGUCGUAAAACUCUGUUGUUAGGGAAGAACAAGUGCUAGUUGAAUAAGCUGGCACCUUGACGGUACCUAACCAGAAAGCCACGGCUAACUACGUGCCAGCAGCCGCGGUAAUACGUAGGUGGCAAGCGUUAUCCGGAAUUAUUGGGCGUAAAGCGCGCGCAGGUGGUUUCUUAAGUCUGAUGUGAAAGCCCACGGCUCAACCGUGGAGGGUCAUUGGAAA